rnacentral:rRNA from 1 species
UGGGUAACCUGCCUCAAAGAGGGGAAUAGCCUCCCGAAAGGGAGAUUAAUACCGCAUAAUAUGUUUAGGUCGCAUGACUUUAACAUCAAAGGAUUUCUUUUGGAAAUUCCACUUUGAGAUGGACCCGCGGCGCAUUAGCUAGUUGGUGAGGUAACGGCUCACCAAGGCAACGAUGCGUAGCCGACCUGAGAGGGUGAUCGGCCACAUUGGAACUGAGACACGGUUCCAGACUCCUAGGGAGG